GCCGGUUUAGCUCAGUGGCAGAGCGUCUGUCUUGUAAACAGAAGGUCGCAGGUUCGAUCCCUGCAAUCGGCA
rnacentral:tRNA from 1 species